rnacentral:rRNA from 1 species
ACGAACGCUGGCGGCGUGCUUAACACAUGCAAGUCGAACGAGAGGAGAAGGAAGCUUGCUUCUUUCAAAUCUAGUGGCAAACGGGUGAGUAACACGUAGGCAACCUGCCCUUUAGUUGGGGACAACAUCCCGAAAGGGGUGCUAAUACCGAAUGUGAUCGCUCUCUCGCAUGAGAGAGCGAUGAAAGAUGGCCUCUAUUUAUAAGCUAUCGCUAAAGGAUGGGCCUGCGUCUGAUUAGCUAGUUGGUGAGGUAACGGCCCACCAAGGCGACGAUUGGUAGCCGGACUGAGAGGAUGAACGGCCACAUUGGGACUGAGACACGGCCCAGACUCCUACGGGAGGCAGCAGUGGGGAAUCUUCCGCAAUGGACGAAAGUCUGACGGAGCAACGCCGCGUGAACGAUGACGGCCUUCGGGUUGUAAAGUUCUGUUAUACGGGACGAAUGGCGUAGCGGUCAAUACCCGUUACGAGUGACGGUACCGUAAGAGAAAGCCACGGCUAACUACGUG